GCAAGAGGCACUCUGGUUUCAGCUCAGGGAUACACACAGUGGACUUUUGGCCUCCAGCACUAUGAACUGAGCUCAGUCCAUGGGGUUUACACAGCAAGCAUUUUACCAACGGAUCCAUGUGGCUUGUGCCAAGUCCCCAUCAACACUGCUGAGUUGCUGUAAUACUCAAACCAGUUCAGAGCCUCAUUUCUUUUGCUUCAUUAUCCUGGAAAAUGCCUGUCAUGUGAGGCCCUGAAGCAUCUGCGAGGAAAACCUCAGAAAGAGAUUGCCUUUCCUUUCCUGUCUUCUGAUAUGUGAGCUAAGUCAGCAACACCAGUGACAACAGCCUGACCUUGGACCUUUAGAACAGGUCUCAUUGUGUAGACAUGGAUGGCCUGAAAUUCACUUUGUAGACAACAUUGGCCUUGAACUUAUGGCAAUCCUCCUGCCUCUGCCUGCUGAGUCCUAGUGUUACAGGUAUGUGCCACUAUGCCAGUACACCUGGUUUUCCUUAAACACUCCUCCAGUUGCAUUCCAUGCAUUGUGUUGUGAUAUCUUCAUUAUACACCAAUUUUUGUUUCUUUG
rnacentral:lncRNA from 1 species